CAGCAUUUCAGUUUGCUUGCAAACUGGAGAUGGCGACCGGCGCACGGGUGAGUAACACGUAUCCAACCUGCCGAUAACUCGGGGAUAGCCUUUCGAAAGAAAGAUUAAUACCCGAUGGUAUAAUUAGACCGCAUGGUCUUGUUAUUAAAGAAUUUCGGUUAUCGAUGGGGAUGCGUUCCAUUAGGCAGUUGGUGAGGUAACGGCUCACCAAACCUUCGAUGGAUAGGGGUUCUGAGAGGAAGGUCCCCCACAUUGGAACUGAGACACGGUCCAAACUCCUACGGGAGGCAGCAGUGAGGAAUAUUGGUCAAUGGGCGCAGGCCUGAACCAGCCAAGUAGCGUGAAGGAUGACUGCCCUAUGGGUUGUAAACUUCUUUUAUAUGGGAAUAAAGUUUUCCACGUGUGGAAUUUUGUAUGUACCAUAUGAAUAAGGAUCGGCUAACUCCGUGCCAGCAGCCGCGGUAAUACGGAGGAUCCGAGCGUUAUCCGGAUUUAUUGGGUUUAAAGGGAGCGUAGGUGGACAGUUAAGUCAGUUGUGAAAGUUUGCGGCUCAACCGUAAAAUUGCAGUUGAUACUGGCUGUCUUGAGUACAGUAGAGGUGGGCGGAAUUCGUGGUGUAGCGGUGAAAUGCUUAGAUAUCACGAAGAACUCCGAUUGCGA
rnacentral:rRNA from 1 species